rnacentral:rRNA from 1 species
UAUUGGUCAAUGGGCGCUAGCCUGAACCAGCCAAGUAGCGUGAAGGAUGACUGCCCUAUGGGUUGUAAACUUCUUUUAUAUGGGAAUAAAGUGCAGUAUGUAUACUUCUUUGCAUGUACCUUAUUAAUAAGGAUCGGCUAACUCCUUGCCAGCCGCCGCGGUAAUACGGAGGAUCCGAGCGUUAUCCGGAUUUAUUGGGUUUAAAGGGAGCGUAGGCGGGUUGUUAAGUCAGUUGUGAAAGUUUGCGGCUCAACCGUAAAAUUGCAGUUGAUACUGGCAUCCUUGAGUACAGUAGAGGUAGGCGGAAUUCGUGGUGUAGCGGUGAAAUGCUUAGAUAUCACGAAGAACUCCGAUUGCGAAGGCAGCCUGCUGGACUGUAACUGACGCUGAUGCUCGAAAGUGUGGGUAUCAAACAGG